GCUCAGUGAUAGCUCAGUCAGUAGAGCAUGAGAUUUUUAAUCCCUAGGUCAUGGGUUCAAGCCCCUCGUUGGGCA